GAAAAAGUAGCUCAUCCGGGUAGAGCAUCUGACUCAUAAUCAGACGGUAGAAGGUUCGAAUCCUUCCUUUUUCACCA
rnacentral:tRNA from 1 species